GUGAGGAAUAUUGGUCAAUGGGCGGGAGCCUGAACCAGCCAAGUCGCGUGAAGGAAGAAGGAUCUAUGGUUCGUAAACUUCUUUUGCAGGGGAAUAAAGUGCAGGACGUGUCCUGUUUUGUAUGUACCCUGAGAAUAAGGAUCGGCUAACUCCGUGCCAGCAGCCGCGGUAAUACGGAGGAUCCGAGCGUUAUCCGGAUUUAUUUGGUUUAAAGGGUGCGUAGGGGGUUUGAUAAGUCAGCGGUGAAAGAUUGCAGCUUAACUGAAAAUUUGCCGCUUAACGGUAAGAUGGCCGUUGAAACUGUCGGUCUUGAGUGCAAAUGAGGUAGGCGGAAUGUGUUGUGUAGCGGUGAAAUGCUUAGAUAUAACACAGAACUCCGAUUGCGAAGGCAGCUUACUGGGAUGCAACUGACACUGAUGCACGAAAGCGUGGGUAUCAAACAGGAUUAGAAACCCGUGUAGUCC
rnacentral:rRNA from 1 species